UGAAUACGAGAUGCUACGGCGUCGAAGCAGUGUAUGUCAGACUUCCAAGAAAAGCUCGCAAUGUCAUAAAUAAAGAAUGCCUGUACCAUAACCGACACAGGUGGGUAGGUAGAGUAUAUUAAGGGGCGCGAGAUAACUCUCUCUAAGGAACUCGGCAAAAUAACUCCGUAACUUCGGGAGAAGGAGUGCCUUCUUUAAGAAGGUUGCAAUAACAAGAUCCAAGCAACUGUUUAUCAAAAACACAGGUCUCCGCUAAGUCGUAAGACGAUGUAUGGGGGCUGACGCCUGCCCAGUGCCAGAAGGUUAAAGAAGCUGGUUAGCAAUAGCGAAGCUGGUGACUGAAGCCCUGGUGAACGGCGGCCGUAACGAUAACGGUCCUAAGGUAGCGAAAUUCCUUGUCGGGUAAGUUCCGACCCGCACGAAAGGCGUAAUGAUUUGGAUACUGUCUCGGAGAGGGACUCGAUGAAAUAGACUUGUCUGUGAAGAUGCGGACUACCUGCACCAGGACAGAAAGACCCUAUGAAGCUUUACUGUAACCUGAAAUUGAAAUUGGACUUUAUUUGCGCAGUAUAGGUGGGAGGCGUUGAAAGUAAUCUUGCGGGAUUAGUGGAGCCAUCAGUGAGAUACCACUCCUAUAAUGUUAGAUUUCUAACUUUGGAUCAUGAUCUGGUCAAAGAACAGUUUCAGGCGGGCAGUUUGACUGGGGCGGUCGCCUCCCAAAUGGUAACGGAGGCGUACAAAGGUUUCCUCUGAACGGGUAGAAAUCGUAUCUAGAGUGUAAAGGCAUAAGGAAGCUUGACUGUGAGAUCUACAAGUCGAGCAGGGACGAAAGUCGGUCUUAGUGAUCUGACGGUGCUGAGUGGAAAGGCCGUCACUCAACGGAUAAAAGUUACUCUAAGGAUAACAGGCUGAUCUCCCCCAAGAGUUCACAUCGACGGGGAGGUUUGGCACCUCGAUGUCGGCUCAUCGCAUCCUGGGGCGGUAGUACGUCCCAAGGGUUGGGCUGUUCGCCCAUGAAAGCGGUACGCGAGCUGGGUUCAGAACGUCGUGAGACAGUUCGGUCCAUAUCCGGUGUAGGCGUUAGAAUAUUGAGAGGAGCCUUCUCUAGUACGAGAGGACCGAGAAGGACAUACCUCUGGCGUACCAGUUAUCGUGCCAACGGUAAACGCUGGGUAGCUAUGUAUGGAGAGGAUAACCGCUGAAAGCAUCUAAGUGGGAAGCCCACCUCAAGAUGAGUAUUCUCAUC
rnacentral:rRNA from 1 species